AUUUUCUUCGGAACUGAAGAUUUGGUGAUUGAGUGGCGGACGGGUGAGUAACGCGUGGGUAACCUGCCCUGUACAGGGGGAUAACAGUCAGAAAUGACUGCUAAUACCGCAUAAGACCACAGCACCGCAUGGUGCAGGGGUAAAAACUCCGGUGGUACAGGAUGGACCCGCGUCUGAUUAGCUGGUUGGUGAGGUAACGGCUCACCAAGGCGACGAUCAGUAGCCGGCUUGAGAGAGUGAACGGCCACAUUGGGACUGAGACACGGCCCAAACUCCUACGGGAGGCAGCAGUGGGGAAUAUUGCACAAUGGGGGAAACCCUGAUGCAGCGACGCCGCGUGAGUGAAGAAGUAUCUCGGUAUGUAAAGCUCUAUCAGCAGGGAAGAAAAUGACGGUACCUGACUAAGAAGCCCCGGCUAACUACGUGCCAGCAGCCGCGGUAAUACGUAGGGGGCAAGCGUUAUCCGGAAUUACUGGGUGUAAAGGGUGCGUAGGUGGUAUGGCAAGUCAGAAGUGAAAACCCAGGGCUUAACUCUGGGACUGCUUUUGAAACUGUCAGACUGGAGUGCAGGAGAGGUAAGCGGAAU
rnacentral:rRNA from 1 species